rnacentral:tRNA from 1 species
GCAUUAGUAGCUUAAAUAUUAAAGCAUUGGUCUUGUAAUCCAAAGAUUGAAGGUUGAAGCCCUUCCUAAUGCC